rnacentral:rRNA from 1 species
GACGAACGCUGGCGGCGUGCUUAACACAUGCAAGUCGAGCGGUAAGGCCCUUUCGGGGGUACGACGAGCGGCGAACGGGUGAGUAACACGUGGGUGACCUGCCCUUAGCUCUGGGAUAAGCCUGGGAAACUGGGUCUAAUACCGGAUAUGACCCCAUGACGCAUGUUGUGGGGUGGAAAGCCUUGUGCGGCUAGGGAUGGGCCCGCGGCCUAUCAGCUUGUUGGUGGGGUGAUGGCCACCAAGGCGACGACGGUAGCCGGCCUGAGAGGGCGACCGGCCACACUGGGACUGAGACACGGCCCAGACUCCUACGGGAGGCAGCAGUGGGGAAUCUUGCGCAAUGGGCGAAAGCCUGACGCAGCGACGCCGCGUGAGGGAUGACGGCCUCGG